UACUGCUCAGUAACACGUGGACAACCUGCCCUUAGGACGGGGAUAAACCCGGGAAACUGGGUAUAAUACCCGAUAGGUCUCGAUUGCUGGAAUGCAUCGAGAUUUAAAGCUCCGGCGCCUAAGGAUGGGUCUGCGGCCUAUCAGGUAGUAGUGGGUGUAGCGUACCUACUAGCCUACGACGGGUACGGGUUGUGAGAGCAAGAGCCCGGAGAUGGAUUCUGAGACACGAAUCCAGGCCCUACGGGGUGCAGCAGGCGCGAAAACUUUACAAUGCUGGCAACAGCGAUAAGGGAACCUCGAGUGCCAGGUUACAAAUCUGGCUGUCGAGAUGCCUAAAAAGCAUUUCAUAGCAAGGGCCGGGCAAGACCGGUGCCAGCAGCCGCGGUAAUACGAUAAUCA
rnacentral:rRNA from 1 species